ACAGGGAUUGCCCUAGUAACGGCGAGUGAAGCGGCAACAGCUCAAAUUUGAAAUCUGGCUCUUUCAGGGUCCGAGUUGUAAUUUGCAGAGGGCGCUUUGGCUUUGGCAGCGGUCCAAGUUCCUUGGAACAGGACGUCACAGAGGGUGAGAAUCCCGUACGUGGUCGCUAGCUAUUGCCGUGUAAAGCCCCUUCGACGAGUCGAGUUGUUUGGGAAUGCAGCUCUAAAUGGGAGGUAAAUUUCUUCUAAAGCUAAAUAUUGGCCAGAGACCGAUAGCGCACAAGUAGAGUGAUCGAAAGAUGAAAAGCACUUUGGAAAGAGAGUCAAACAGCACGUGAAAUUGUUGAAAGGGAAGCGCUUGCAGCCAGACUUGCUUGCAGUUGCUCAUCCGGGCUUUUGCCCGGUGCACUCUUCUGUAGGCAGGCCAGCAUCAGUUUGGGCGGUGGGAUAAAGGUCUCUGUCACGUACCUCUCUUCGGGGAGGCCUUAUAGGGGAGACGACAUACCACCAGCCUAGACUGAGGUCCGCGCAUCUGCUAGGAUGCUGGCGUAAUGGCUGUAAGCGGCCCGUCUUGAAACACGGACCAAGGAGUCUAACAUCUAUGCGAGUGUUUGGGUGUCAAGCCCGAGCGCGUAAUGAAAGUGAACGGAGGUGGGAACCCGCAAGGGUGCACCAUCGACCGAUCCUGAAGUUUUCGGAAGGAUUUGAGUAAGAGCAUGGCUGUUGGGACCCGAAAGAUGGUGAACUAUGCUUGAAUAGGGUGAAGCCAGAGGAAACUCUGGUGGAGGCUCGCAGCGGUUCUGACGUGCAAAUCGAUCGUCAAAUUUGGGCAUAGGGGCGAAAGACUAAU
rnacentral:rRNA from 2 species